rnacentral:tRNA from 1 species
GCCAAUGUAGCUCAGCUGGUGAGAGCACGGGAUUCAUAACCCCGAGGUCGGUGGUUCGAGUCCACUCAUUGGCA